rnacentral:rRNA from 1 species
UACGUAGGGGGCUAGCGUUGUCCGGAAUCAUUGGGCGUAAAGAGCGUGUAGGCGGCCCGGUAAGUCCGCUGUAAAAGUCAAAGGCUCAACCUUUGAAUGUCAGUGGAUACUGCCGGGCUAGAGUCCGGAAGAGGCGAGUGGAAUUCCUGGUGUAGCGGUGGAAUGCGCAGAUAUCAGGAGGAACACCAACGGCGAAGGCAGCUCGCUAGGACGGUACUGACGCUGAGACGCGAAAGCGUGGGGAGCAAACAGG